UACCAGGUUAUAGCCCAAUUCAACCUCUGUUCCCUUUGAGCCUUAUGUCUCCUACAGUACUCCCUCAGGCGGCCCCUUGGGGUGUUGAGGCAUAUGGGGGCAAUUACAGUUGCAUCACGGUUACAGGCCUAAACCAAACUAGUGGUCUGGCUGAUGUGUGGUGGAUCUGUGGACCCAAAAGAGUGCUGAGACCCAUCUUAGAGGAGACUGGCAAGGUACGUGUGCUCUGACCAGUUUGAUAAUUCCACUGACCAUUGUUGAUGUUACUGCUGAACAGCUGUUGGGUUCUGUACCCAGGGGACCUGAAAACAUUCCUUCCAUGGGAGACAUAGACGUAGUGCUCCAUGGACAGAGGAUGUAGUUGACAUACACACUAACCUGUUGGGAGUGCCAAUGGGGGUUCCUCAUGAGUUUCAGGUCUUGGGUAGGAAUGAUGGAUUAUAGGUCCAGCCAUAGUGGAUGCAAGGCAGACUGCAUGGAUUCAUUACAUCACUAUGAUCAACACGUUUUGUUAAUUACCCCGUGAUGCACUCACUAGUAUUUCUGAACAGUUUGAGGCCACAUCUAGGGUUGCCAGACAGAAUAGACUUGCUUUGGGUGCUUCUUGCAGUCAGGGGGCGUCUGCAAGAUGUUCGGUGAACAAUUGUGCACGUAACACCAGUCCAGAUGGUAGUAUUACUAAGGCCCUUAGUGGGCUUGAUGCACUUGAUGCAUUAUCUGCUGAGAUGAGGACCAUGGCGGGGUGGAGGAGUCGGGACUGUUCUCUUGGGUGGAGCCUGUUUUUGUAAGUACACUAGUACGGUGGUUACUGGAUUUCUGACCCUAAUUCUUGUAUUUUGUUAUUGAUGUGUUGUGAUGCUUGCAUCAUACCGUGUUUCAAGAAGUCUGUUACAGAUGUGGUGAAGGCUUCAGGCAUGAUGAUGCUUGCUUGAUGCCCAGUUGGAGAUGCUGAUACUGAAGCAUGCUUUCAGGGGAGGAUGAAGACGGACUGAGGAUGACCCAUGGUAUGCUGUGGGUGAGGUAGUAGAAUAAAUCUUACACCACCACAUUCCUUGUUAUACAUUUUUAUGAGGUUUUCUUUCCAGUAUGUUGUUCUCCCUGUUGUGAAGGUUUCGAGUCCCUGGGUGGCAUGAAGCCCAACUGGUGCAGGAUAGUAGUAGAUGAGGCCAGAUGGUUUUAUAAUAAUGCUUUGCUCUUCUCUCUGUUUUCCAUGACCAAAGUUUUAUCCUGUAUUUACAUGUCAAAACAAAGUUUUUCCUGUUUUUGCUAAGUGACAACCCUUGUGGGUGUCAAAAGGGGGACUUAAAUUCACACCAUUUUCUUUUGUUCUGUUUUGAAUGAGCUGUUCUCCUUUUGCAUGAAGGUAUUUUAAACUUGUGACUGUUAUGAUGUCAUUGCUGUUU
rnacentral:lncRNA from 1 species